AGGGUUUUUUUGACAUACUGAAACUAAUAACUAUGCCAGAAAAUUUAAAUUUGUUGGAAAAUGUUCAUAUAGGACUAGAAGCACCCUCAAAUCAUGGAUUAACUAAUUUGGUUAAAGGAGAUUAUUUAUAUUAUCAUUAUUUAUGUGACGGUCUGGAUGAUAGGGGAUGGGGCUGUGGAUAUCGAACUUUGCAAACCUUAUGUUCAUGGAUUAACAAAAUUAAUAAGAACGUAAGUGUUCCAGAUAUUCCAGCCAUUCAACAAACUCUUGUUAAAAUUGAAGAUAAACCAAAUGCGUUCUUAGGAUCGAGAAAUUGGAUCGGUACAGUUGAAGCCUCAAUGGUUAUCGAUACUUUAUACGAUGUCCCUUGUAAAAUAAUUCAUGUGAACUCGGGCUCAGAAUUGAAUUCUAUUGUGCCAAGUUUGGUAGAACAUUUUAUAAGUAAAGGAAGUCCUCUAAUGAUGGGUGGUGAUACAGAUUGUUCAUCCAAAGGAAUUAUGGGAACUCAUUCAUGCGAUUCUACAAAUUAUCUCCUAGUUGUGGAUCCUCAUUAUUAUGGAGGUACUGUGAAUUCAAAGACUUUACAAAGUCGAGGGUGGAUAAAAUGGGUUGCUGUAAAUGAUUUUUUGGAUAGUUCGUUUUAUAAUUUAUGUUUACCGCAGUUAUGUUCAAAUCAAUGACAGGUUGCAAAAUUUUUUUUUGGUGACAUGGAGUUCUAUAGUAAAUUUGACACAAAACAUCCUUCUAAGAAGAUUUAACCAUCAUUCUAUCAAAUGCCUCUUCAUUGGUGACAUUUGUAUAUGCCAUAAUACGAUCUCGAAUCCAUUUACGGCGUGGAUCCAUUUUUCGUAUUAUGCGUGAUAUUUAAAUGAAAAAAGCCUAGAAACAAAAUGAUGAUUACACUUAAUUAAAGAAAAUGUCUUUAUUUUUUUAAAAUUAGCUAAUUAG